UUUAAUUUGAGAGUUUGAUCCUGGCUCAGGAUGAACGCUGGCGGCGUGCUUAACACAUGCAAGUCGAACGGAGUUAAUAAGUGGAAGUCUUCGGAUGGAAGCUUGUUAACUUAGUGGCGGACGGGUGAGUAACGCGUGGGUAACCUGCCUUAUACAGGGGGAUAACAGCCGGAAACGGUUGCUAAUACCGCAUAAGCAUACAGUGCCGCAUGGUACAGUGUGAAAAAGAUUAAGUUCAACUUCGUUGAACUCUGGUAUAAGAUGGACCCGCGUCUGAUUAGCUAGUUGGUGAGGUAAUGGCUCACCAAGGCGACGAUCAGUAGCCGGCUUGA
rnacentral:rRNA from 1 species